GACGAACGCUGGCGGCGUGCCUAAUACAUGCAAGUCGAACGCAGUGGGGACGGGUGAGUAACACGUGGGUAACCUCCCAUCAGUGGGGAUAACACUUGGAAACAGGUGCUAAACCGAUACUGAUGGAUGGACCCGCGGUGCAUUAGCUAGUUGGUGAGGUAACGGCUCACCAAGGCCACGAUGCAUAGCCGACCUGAGAGGGUGAUCGGCAAGACUGGUACUGAGACACGGCACCGACUCCGAAGGGAGGCAGCAGUAGGGAAUCUUACACAAGGGACGAAAGUCGGAUGGAGCAACGCGGGGUGAGUGAAGAAGGUGUGCGGAGCGGAAAGCUCUGUUGUUGGUGAAGCGGUAAUAAACCAGAAAGUCACGGCUAAAUACGUGCCAGCAGCCGCGGUAAUUC
rnacentral:rRNA from 1 species